GUGUCAGCCGCCGCGGUAACACGUAGGGGACGAGCGUUGUCCGGAUUUAUUGGGCGUAAAGCGCGCGUAGGCGGCCCGGAAAGUCGGUUGUGAAAACCCGGGGCUCAACCCCGGGCCUGCAUCCGAAACUUCCGGGCUGGAGGUAGGUAGGGGAGAUCGGAAUUCCUGGUGUAGCGGUGAAAUGCGCAGAUAUCAGGAGGAACACCGGUGGCGAAGGCGGAUCUCUGGGCCUUACCUGACGCUGAGGCGCGAAAGCUAGGGGAGCGAACAGGAUUAGAUACCCUCGUAGUCC
rnacentral:rRNA from 1 species